GACGAACGCUGGCGGCGUGCUUAACACAUGCAAGUCGAACGGAAAGGCCCUGCUUUUGUGGGGUGCUCGAGUGGCGAACGGGUGAGUAACACGUGAGUAACCUGCCCUUGACUUUGGGUUAACUUCAGGAAACUGGGGCUAAUACCGGAUAGGAGCUCCUGCUGCAUGGUGGGGGUUGGAAAGUUUCGGCGGUUGGGGAUGGACUCGCGGCCUAUCAGCUUGUUGGUGGGGUAGUGGCUUACCAAGGCUUUGACGGGUAGCCGGCCUGAGAGGGUGACCGGCCACAUUGGGACUGAGAUACGGCCCAGACUCCUACGGGAGGCAGCAGUGGGGAAUAUUGCACAAUGGGCGGAAGCCUGAUGCAGCAACGCCGCGUGCGGGAUGACGGCCUUCGGGUUGUAAACCGCUUUCGCCUGUGACGAAGCGUGAGUGACGGUAAUGGGUAAAGAAGCACCGGCUAACUACGUG
rnacentral:rRNA from 1 species